rnacentral:rRNA from 1 species
ACGCUCGACACCUACGGAGGCAGCAGUGGGGAAUAUUGCACAAUGGGGGAAACCCUGAUGCAGCAACGCCGCGUGAAGGAAGACGGUUUUCGGAUUGUAAACUUCUGUUCUUAGUGAAGAUAGUGACGGUAGCUAAGGAGCAAGCCACGGCUAACUACGUGCUAGCAGCCGCGGUAAUCUGAGCGGGCUGGCAAGGC